GCAGAGGUCAACAUCAUAGAUGACAACUUUAUCCUAAAGUGGAACAGGAACAAUGAGUCUGUCAGAAAUGUGACAUUUUCGGCAGAUUAUCAGAUACCUGGAAUGGAUAAUUGGACAAAAUUACCUGGAUGUCAAUAUAUUACUAAUACCAAAUGCAACUUUUCUUCACUCAAGCUGAAUGCUCAUGAAGAAAUUAAAUUGAAUAGAAGAGCAGAAAAAAGAAAUUACACUUCUUUGUGGUAUGAGCUUGACUCAUUGAUACUAUUUCAAAAAGCUCAAAUUGGUCCUCCAGAAGUACAUUAGAAGCUGAAGAUAAGGCAACAAUAAUAAACUUCUCUCCUCCGGGGAUGAAAGAUAGUUAUCACAUAGGCGUUAGAUAGUUCAAGCUUUACACAUAGCCUAGUUAUCUGGAAAAACUCUUCAAGUGCAGAAAAAAGAACUGAAACUGUUUAUCCCAGAGAUAAAAUUUAUAAACUCUCACCAGAGACCACCUAUUAUUUAAAAGCUAAAGCAAGACUACGUUUGCAGAGGGAAGGUGGUGUCUGUAGUCCAGUGUGUUGUAUAAAUACCACAGUUGAAAAUAAACUGGCUCCACCAGAAAAUACAGAAGUUAAUGUUAAAGUUAAUGUUAAAAACAUUCUUAAAUGGGAUUACACACACGCAAACAUAACCCUUCAAGUUCCGUGGCUCCCUGCCUUUUCAAAAAACCAUCCUGGGAACCAUUCAUAUAAACGGAAACAAACACCUGACUGUGAAAAUGUUGAAACUAUCCAGGGUGUCUUUCCUCAAAACGUUUUCCCAAAAGGAAUUUACUUUCUCCAUGUAUAAUACAACCAUCUAGUGGAAAUGACACAUCUCUUUGGUCUCAAGAGAAAAAAUUUAACACUGAAAUACAAACUAUCAUACUUCCUCCAGUCAUUAAUGAGAAAUCCAUUAGUGAAUCACUGCGUGUCUACAUCUGUGCUCCAAAACAGUCUGGAAACAGCCCUGUGAACUAGCAUUACCCACUAAGUUACGAAACAUUUUUUGGAAAAACACGUCAAAUGCUGAGAGCAAAACUGUAGAGAAAAAAACUGAUUUUACGACUCCUAACUUGCAACCCCUGACUGUAGACUGUGUCAAAGCGAGAGCACACCUUGUGGAAGUGUUUCCAGAGAUAUCGUGUGUAAGAAAAUAAAACCAAGAAAUACGUGCAGACCUGGCUUAUCACUGGAAUUCGCACUGCAUUAUUUGCUCUCCUGGUUGUCAUUUAUGCUGUGAAAGUCCUCUUUUCUCUCAGUAUUUCUCUGAACAGCCGUUAAAGAAUCUUCUGCUUUUGACUUCUGAGGAACAAACUGAAAAAUGUUUUACAAUUGAAAAUCUGAACACGAUUGCUACAGUAGAAACUAAUCAAAUUGAUGAAGAUGGCAAAAAAUCCAGUUCCCAUACUGGUCAAGAUUCAGGAAACAAUUCUAAAGAAGAUGAAAAUAGUGGAAGUAAAACAAGUAAAGAACUAGAAUAG